UUAAACUUACUCCUCCUUCCCUGAAAUAACUUCAAUCAUGGUCAGCUGGUUCUGAAGUUAACCAUGCAAAAUGUUGGCUGGUUGAGUGGAAAAUCAAUUAUUACCAGGUUUUAUCCAGCAACCAAAUACAGCGAGAGGGAGGCUCCUCCUUGUUGUAUAGCUUGAAUUGCUUGCCAGCCUCAUGAGAAAUAAUAAAUAAGAAGGUAGCAAAGAUGAUGGCAAUUUACAAAGACGGAAAUGAGAACCCUAGUGGUGGCAUUCCCACUAUAUUUGUAGCAACAGAAUAAAAAGAAAAAGUUGGAUGACCGCGGAAUUCCUCUAUCUCCAUAGAGGCCAGGCUGUCAGCUGCAGUUUAGGUGGGCUAGAUUACAAAACAAGAUGGAAUUGUGAAAGCUUAAAGGCAGCAGACCUGAGCUAGAUAAUAUGGAGGAGUUGUGAGACGUGUGAAGCUUGUUGCAUAAUUGGUUGUCCGAGUCAAAAACUUACGUGGUUCUAGGAUGACCAUUUCCUGCACGGACUUCACUGAUCUCACCGUAUGCCAACUCAUGCUCGCACGAAGAAUCGAAAGCAGAAGUAGAAACCGGAAAGAGCCAAGUCUUGGACCACCUCACUCCCAAACGUCGUACAUCCAACAAGCUUUUCGUUUUUCUGAAAAGUUUCUCGUCACUGAAUACGCGCUAACAGCUAGAUACCUGCAUGAAAGGACGUAAACAUUAAGAUGGAUGGGAUUGAAUGUUUCACCAAUCCUGCCAUAUUUCUUUUAGAG
rnacentral:lncRNA from 1 species